AUUGAAAUUCAACAAGGAAGCCCAGAGAACACUGCUAUGACAUCAUAAAGGCCCCUGUCUUGUUCAGGUCAAGACUCCGAUUCCAAAGGCUAUUAAAGAACUGUCCACACACACGAUAGUUCACAGUCAGCAGAACUUUGCCCAGGAACAUCGAGAGGGACUGCUGAAGAGUACAGGGGAUUUCCACAAGCACAUUGCGGUCACUCACUCCAAUGGCUUCCACAGCAGACAGAAAGGCUCAAAGCAGACCUAAGAUAUGGAUGAACCCGCUGAAGACCCUUGUUCCCGUCAACGCCAGCCGAAUGAAGGUGGUGGACAAACAGAUUGAUGUCCUGGUUUUCUCUUGGAGGAUGGCUCAACUAAAACAAGCUGGGAGGGUUCCCUUGCCCCAAAUCAGACCACAGCCCACCUCCCCCUCGCUCCCAGUACCACUGCAAUGGUCUGAUCAGCCUUCCAACUCCCUGCUCCCCUUCUACACAGCGCUGAAACCCACCUUCGGGUGCCGUUUCUCCUGGGAUACGGACCAUAAGAUUCGCUCUUCUGGCAUUGAUGCUAAAAAGCCGUGAGCUGGCGGAGUAAUCAGCAUUGCAAAAUAAAAGCGUGCACAAUCUC